UACGAAGGGGACUAGCGUUGUUCGGAAUUACUGGGCGUAAAGCGCACGUAGGCGGAUUUGUUAGUCAGGGGUGAAAUCCCGGGGCUCAACCUCGGAACUGCCUUUGAUACUGCAAAUCUCGAGUCCGAUAGAGGUGGGUGGAAUUCCUAGUGUAGAGGUGAAAUUCGUAGAUAUUAGGAAGAACACCGGUGGCGAAGGCGGCCCACUGGAUCGGUACCGACGCUGAGGUGCGAAAGCGUGGGGAGCAAACAGG
rnacentral:rRNA from 1 species